rnacentral:lncRNA from 1 species
ACCUUGAAAACUAGUUUUGUUUUCUACAACUGAAAUUGUUUAAUAUAAUAUGACAACAUGAAUCACACAUCUUAGGUCAAGUUACGGUAUGUGAUCAUCUUCAACAUGAAUAUACAUCUUACGUCAAAUUGCAGGGAUACACAGAUAGCACUGCAGCUUCAUAUUUCCUAUGGAAGUGUAUUCUUACAUUCUACUACAGAAAUAUAAUCCCAGAGAGGGGGUUUGCUCACAAGCUGAAGACUGCCUGCUCUCCUGAACUAUGCUUAAAUUAUACUGAAAAAUAUAUAUAAUCCUGCUUUCCCCAAGGAAGAGGGAACUUAUGCACAUAGUGAAGAUUGCCUGCUCUCCCGAACUACGAUUGGAACUCAAGGACUGCUUCUCCUGCAAAACAGACAGGAGGAACCAAUGACAAUGUCACCAUAAUACUGCCUAUGAGAUGAUCUUGGGGAUGAUAGGUCAAUAAAUAGCUGGCAGAACAACCACCAUCAUUAAGGAAGAGGGAAGUCAGGGAACUUAUGCACAUAGUGAAGAUUGCCUGCUCUCCCGAACUACGGUUGACUCAAGGACUGCUUCUCCUGCAAAACAGACCGGAGGAACCAAUCACAAAGUCACCAUAAUACUGCCUAUGAGAUGAUCUUGGGGAUGAUAGGUCAAUAAAUAGCUGGCAGAACAACCACCAUCAUUACAACAACAAUAACAACAACAACAACCCAGUAAAAUCCCACAAGUGGGGUAUGGGGAAGGUAGAGUGUACGCAGACCUUACCCCUACCCCAAGGGGGUAGAGAGGCUGUUUCCGAUAGACCCUCGGCUCAAGGAGACGAAAAAGGAGACAAAAAAGACAAUAUAUUAGUACCAUCAACAGAAACCAUAGAAAUAAUAACAGCAUCACAAGUACCAGAAAAUAGAUGAAAAACAGUAACAAUAACACGUAAGUAUGGCUUGGUACUAUGAAAAGUGAAAGAAUAGUGUGGACACAACAAUAAUCACUAGCAGUCUAAGACACAACCUUAUCAGACUAGUCUCUCAACCGGUACCAAGUAGAAAAGAGCUCCACUACCUCCUAACCUACAACCCUAAUGCUCGACCUUCACACCUUCCUAUCAAGGGGCAUGUCCUCGGAAAUCUGAAGCUUCGCCAUGUCCUGCCUGAUCACCUCCCUUAACACUUCUUGGGCCGUCCUCUACCUCUUCUCGUACUCGUCAAAGCCAACCGCUCACAUCUCCUUAAUGGGGCACUCGAACUUCUCCUUCGCACGUGCCCGAACCAUCUGAGCCUUGCUUCCCGCAUCUUGUCAUCCAUCGGAGCCACGCCCACCUCUCCCGAAUAUCUUCAUUCCUAAUCUUAUCCAUCCUAGUGUGCCCGCACAUCCACCUCAACAUCCUCAUUUCUACUAAACAACCACCAUCAUUAAGGAAUAAAAUAUUUGCACCGAGAUAAAUAACAUGCUUUAUAAUCUAUUUGUUCACUGGAAGAACCAUAGACGAUAAAGGCAAGGAGCUGAUUUAUUGAUAUGAUGUCCAUUAGCCAUGAUUUCAACUAGCAUCUCCCCGUGGUUAACUGGUUAUCAAUUAUCGUCUUCCAAGACGAUAUUUCCUCCUCUACUAGUUGCUUUUUCUUUUUCCUCAGCUCGAUUUGUUAUUCUGUUUCGAAGCAAACUCAGGGUGGCGCUGUGAGAUCAAACUCUUCUGUGGCUGAAGGGGUGACUAGUCUCUAUCUCGUCCUUGGAGAUUGGAGUUAAUCAAGUUUAUGGUGAGCUAGAGCCACAACACGAGAGAUGUAACUAAUAUUCAAAUCUUAGACAAUAUCACUGAUCCUAAGCUAGCGUUUGGCCAUAGAUUCCCAAAUUUAUUCUGAAAAAUCUGAUUUGGGUGAAGUUUGGUUUGAAGAUGAAAAUGUGUUUGAACAUCAGUUUUCAAAACAUAUUUCCCAAAUUUAUUUUGGAAAAACAUGAAACAUGA